GCGGGUAUAGUACAUCGGUAGUACGUGUGCUUCCCAAGCAUGAGAGACGGGUUCGACUCCCGUUACCCGCUCCA
rnacentral:tRNA from 1 species